GCAUCCGGUAGCCUGAAGGGCCAGUCUCACUUCCACCAUGUCCCCGCAACAGCACGGAGUGUAUUUUCAGGCAGCCGGUGAGUAGGGCUACAAGCCUCCAGCUGAGAAAGCAAAGCCAACUCACAGUUCCUUGGCUGUCCCGCGGAGCCUGCGGUGGCAAACCACCUCCUUCAGAAGGGUCUGUGGAUUCUCCUGGCUUUUCUGGUAUGUUCCUGUGGUAGUUCUUGGAGCAGAAGUUCAUGAUGCCAGUCUUCAUAGGCGGCUCUGUCUGUCUGAGUGGGAGCUGCAGUCCUUGCCGGAGUCCCACUGCUCCCGAACACAUGCCCUGAGGCAGCGUGCCUGCACAACCAGCUUCCAUCUGAACGCUUCAGACAUGCGCUGCAUUCAGGGCAGGGACUUUUCUUGGACAGAGAAGCUGAGAAGUAUCAGAUAAAGAUGACCUGCAUGUACUGGAAAAUAAUCUGUGGUUUAUAUGUAGGCGGAUGGAAGCAAACCAGGGAACAAAAGAAGAAUUUGUAGUUCACAGCCACAUGAGAUAGUCAAGUGUUAAAAGGGAAAAAGAGCUAUCGAAGGCAGGAAGCAAAAUGCCUUCAGAGAUAAAAGGUUAUUCGUGGCUGAGUGAAAAAAAUGGACAAUGAGCAGAAAAUAAUUUAUACUACAAAGUCUUUAGACGUCAUUUACUUGCAAUAGGUUUUCAGUAUAAAGACUCUAUUUUCCACCAUCCCUUGCCAUAUGUUUGGACCCUGUACUUAAGUUGAGGCCAAUGGGUUGUGAAAGUAUUGAGAAGGAGCUUGUGGAAAGCCUUAAAAAAGAAAUCUCAGCUGGUGUGCACCCUCUGCAUGUCUAAGUAAUUCUGAUUUAACUGCUGGAGCUGCUGUCUUGACCCAUGGCCAUGAAAGUUAUUUCUAGGGACAGCAGAGUGCUGAUCUGGAAGGAACCUGGGGCCUAGCAACUUUGAAGCCAGCAUGCCCUGUACGCUUACAUCUGUACUUUGUAUAAGAGGGAAAUAGGCUUCUGUCAUAAUUAAACAGGUAUUUUUGGUUUUCUGUAAAUGUAGUCAAAUCUAAUGGAUAUAUUAUGCUCUGUGCUUCACAUAUUUUAUUUAGUCUUUAUGCAUGCUCAUGAGGUAGGAAUUACUAUGCCUAUUAUGUUUAUUUUACAAAUUAGGAAAUAGAUAUUUCAAUUUUCAUUUUAAUUUCCUGG
rnacentral:lncRNA from 1 species